rnacentral:pre_miRNA from 1 species
CACUACUGUAAAAUGAUUAUAGGUUAAUCUUCUUUUUUUUCGAAUGAAUUGACGUCAGUUAUUUUGGAAUGUACAUGAUUUCGAAUGGAUCGAUUUAGAUUUUUCACGUAAUCAUAAUUAUAGGUCGU